rnacentral:rRNA from 1 species
ACCCUAGUGGCGGACGGGUGAGUAACGCGUGGGUAACCUGCCCCAUACCGGGGGAUAACACUUAGAAAUAGGUGCUAAUACCGCAUAAGCGCACGGUACUGCAUGGUACAGUGUGAAAAACUCCGGUGGUAUGGGAUGGACCCGCGUCUGAUUAGCUUGUUGGCGGGGUAGGGGCCCACCAAGGCGACGAUCAGUAGCCGGCCUGAGAGGGUGGACGGCCACAUUGGGACUGAGACACGGCCCAAACUCCUACGGAAGGCAGCAG